CUAUGGCCACAUCAUUGUUGAAACACCAGUUGCUGUACAAUCACUGAAGUUAAGCAACAUUGAUCUUGGGCAGUACCUAGAUGGGUAACUAAUUGGGAAUACCAGGUGCUGUAA